AGUAAAGCACCACAGAUACACUAGGAAAAGCUCAAUCAAUAAGAAUAAUAAGAGAAGCCAUGAAGAGGAUUCUGAUGUGGACUGGACUACUAAAACUAGGGGAAAUAAAAAGCAGCAUGACAGAGAAGGGUAGAAAUUCAUUUUCUGGGUAAUAACCAAGAAGAUCAAGAUAUUAUGUGAGUAUUUCUGUAUUUGCAUUUCUGUAUACUUUUGCAUGUCUAAUUUAUAUUUUUCUAAUAGUAUCAUGAUGUUUUGCAGGCAUCACUCAAGAAGAUCAAGAUCUAUAAAGAUGGACCAGUUAAAUAGUGGUUGUUCUCAUAGAAGAAAACAGGAACGUGAAAGGAAGGAGAGGACUCCUGAUGAGGAAAGGAGUACCAACAUUAAGGACAAUCUUAAAAAGAAGUGCAGAGGCAGAACUCCUGAUACUGAUUCUGAUAAGGAAUGGUCAGAUGAAGAGCAGACUAGGAAAAACUCGCAUAAUAGGAACCAUAGCAGUAACCACGAAGAGGAUUCUGAUGUGGAUUGCGGUACUAUAACUAGGGACAAUGAAAAGCAGCCUUACAGCAAAGGAAGAAACUCACAUUGUGGGAACUGGAUUUAUGAGACUGGAUCAGACAGAGGUAGAGAUAGGAAAAAACAUCAUAUUGACCGAAGGUCAAGCUCAAGAUAUCAGAGCAGGGAUAGCAGUCAUGUAACCGCUGAAUCUGAAUCUGAAUCUGACAACGAUAGAGGAGAGAUGGAAUCACAACAUGAUUACUCUAGGAAAAGCUUGAGACACAUGAGAUAUGACCUUCAGAAUUACUGUGAAGACUAUGAGAAUGAAAAUGACAAAAUUGAUGGAGGUUGGUCUCAGAGGGAGAGUGAACGAGCAGCACAUCAUCACAAAAAGAAGAGAGCUUGUUAAAAUCAUUUUCAAGUUAUUUAUAAGAUAGGGAUGAGUUUCUAAGUCAGAUCACUGAGAAUAUGCAUCAUUAGCUACUAAUUAGAGAUUAUCAGUUAUAGUUGUUAGUUUUCCAUAGUUUUAAGUUGUGACCUGUUUCAAUCAAAAUAAUGUAGGAAGUAUUGGAAAUCAUCUGUAUUUCAAAAGUUAAUGGUUGGCAAUUUUUAAAUUAGUGACAAUCUAUCUAUUAUAAUUAUAAUAUAUAUUAAUUCUGAUGUGCGUAUUGUAACGUUUACAACACAACUCUUCUUUCUUACCCCUUGCCACAUUAGAUUUUUAAAUGUGACAACUCACCUCCAAUGCUCUUCAAAUGAUGUGAUUCCUAACCCAUUGAAUUCAGUUAUCUCAAAUUGAUCCUUUGAUCCCUCACAUUCUAACCUGUCAUAAUAUAUUUUUUUUCUAACAGAACUUUUAUUGAAACUCAUAAAGGUGAAAAGUCUUCACACAAGGCAAUUACAAAUCAUCACAUAAAACCCAAACAUCCUCCCUGUCACACCCCUCAUUUGCCAAAAAAUCAGCAAUCACAAUACCCUCCCUCAUAACAUGUUUGACCCCACACAAUUGACAAGAGGCAUCAAAUAAUCAAUAUAAUUAAACUCAUGAGACAAUUUCCAAGGGCGAUUUUGUCCAUUUCUCACCCAACCCACAACAAGCGUAGAGUCACUUUCUAUAGCCACAUUCACCAAAUUAUGUUGAUGACAAAAAACUAAAGCUGACAGAAUAGCUUUCAUCUCCGCCUCAUAAGCCCAAGCAUGACCAAUGGAUUUAAAGAAAUACAAAAUUACCUGUCCAUUAUCAUUGCGCAAAACUCCUCCAAUGCCACUGACACCUGAAUUACCCUUUGAUGCCUCAUCCACAUUAAAGUUGAAAGCACCACAAGGCGGUGGUUCCCAUAACUGACAAGGCUUUAUAUUUUUUAAUCUCUCAAUAAUCUUACAAAGUAAUUAAAUGUCCACGCAUUGCGUGUGUCAUAUUUUAAUAAUUUAUUAAAUCUGAAGCUAAGAUGUCGAACUGGCACAGUGACACAUUCCCAUUUCAUGUCAUCUAAGCACUUUUGAACUGUAAGUUACAAAUAUGAAAAUCACUACAAGAAUAAUGAGAAUUGAUGAUGGUAAAAAAUCAUCGACAAGCCCUAAAUGUCAUUGUUAAACAGAAAAUUACCACCAGCUAAAUAUUUGUCGGUAUUAUGAUCCUCGGUAGUAUUUAGCAUUGGUCAUAACCGUUGUUAUACGACAUCAACAGUUGCUAAGUUACCGACCACGCAGAUCUUCAGUAAUAAGCCGAUUCAGAUAAAAUGCAUGUUUAUAUAACACAUUUAAAAUGUAUGUUACAUAACAAACAUAUAGUACAUGUUUACUAUUUACUAUCUAUAUAUGUCUUUAUCUAUAUAAUUUACAAAUAUUCAUAACAUUUUAUGAAAUGUAUAUUUUUUUGUAUAUAUUUAGUAAAAUUUUUAAUUAUAUGGAAAAUUACAUUAUAUUUUUUAUUUCUAAAGAUUCUUAUUAAUAAAUUAAGUUUUUUUAAACAAUUUAUAUUUAUGUACUAUGAAAAAGUAUAAACAGGGAAUGGACCCUAGGUUGAAGAGAGGAAGUAUAUGGUGUUUUGGGCGCAAGUUGUGGUGGUUCGAUUGCGGUAUCGAUCUGGGUAGAAAUUCAUUUUCUGGGUAAUUUUAAAGGAUGAAGAAAAUGAUGAAUAAAUAUUAAUUUUUUGCUGUAGUUAUUUUUUUGGUUUCUGCUUUUUUUUUUUUACAUAAUCAUUUUUUAAAAAAUUAACCUGAUGAAACCUAGUAUAGCAAGUCAAAAGAUACUUGUGUAAGGUUACACAAGAAAAAGCAGCAUGGCAGAGAAGGAAGAAACUCACAAAAGUCGAACUGGGACAUUAGGAACUGGAAUUGUGAGACUGGAUCAGAUGGUGAUAUAGAUAGAAAAAGACACCAUAUUAACCAAGAAGAUCAAGAUCUAUAAAGAUGGACCAAUUAAAUAGUGGUUGUUCUCAUAGAGGAAAACAGGAACGUGAAAGGAAGGAGAGGACUCCUGAUGAGGAAAGGAGUACCAACAUUAAGGACAAUC
rnacentral:lncRNA from 1 species